rnacentral:rRNA from 1 species
GACGAACGCUGGCGGCGUGCCUAAUACAUGCAAGUUGAGCGCUGAAGGUUGGUACUUGUACCAACUGGAUGAGCAGCGAACGGGUGAGUAACGCGUGGGGAAUCUGCCUUUGAGCGGGGGACAACAUUUGGAAACGAAUGCUAAUACCGCAUAAAAACUUUAAACACAAGUUUUAAGUUUGAAAGAUGCAAUUGCAUCACUCAAAGAUGAUCCCGCGUUGUAUUAGCUAGUUGGUGAGGUAAAGGCUCACCAAGGCGAUGAUACAUAGCCGACCUGAGAGGGUGAUCGGCCACAUUGGGACUGAGACACGGCCCAAACUCCUACGGGAGGCGGCAGUAGGGAAUCUUCGGCAAUGGACGAAAGUCUGACCGAGCAACGCCGCGUGAGUGAAGAAGGGUUUCGGAUCGUAAAACUCUGUUGGUAGAGAAGAACGUUGGUGAGAGUGGAAAGCUCAUCAAGUGACGGUAACUACCCAGAAAGGGACGGCUAACUACGUG